ensembl:rRNA 5S_rRNA 5S ribosomal RNA
ACUAGCAGCCAUGUCACCCUGCAACUCACAACUGGCAACCCACUGAAGCGCAGCAGGUGUGAGCCUGGUCAGUACCUGGAAGGGAGACCACCUGGGAAAAACUAAGGUUGCUGCCGGAA